ensembl:snRNA U4 U4 spliceosomal RNA
AGCUUUGCUCAGUGGCAGUAUCGUAGCCAAUGAGGUUUAUCCGAUGCGCAAUUAUUGCUAAUUGAAAACUUUUACCGAUUGUACAAGCAUUGAAACCUUCACAUACCACCUCCUCCCCUUCAGAGUUUUACUGCUAACUUUCUAGAAAAUCUCAGAGUACAUUUAGGGGUGGGGAU